rnacentral:rRNA from 1 species
UACGUAGGGUGCAAGCGUUGUCCGGAAUUAUUGGGCGUAAAGAGCUCGUAGGCGGUUUGUCGCGUCUGCUGUGAAAUCCCGAGGCUCAACCUCGGGCCUGCAGUGGGUACGGGCAGACUAGAGUGCGGUAGGGGAGAUUGGAAUUCCUGGUGUAGCGGUGGAAUGCGCAGAUAUCAGGAGGAACACCAAUAGCGAAGGCAGCUCGCUGGGACGUUACUGACACUGAGGCGCGAAAGCGUGGGGAGCAAACAGG